GGAGAGAUGUCCGAGUGGCUUAAGGUGUACGCUUGGAAAGCGUAUGUGGAAUAAUUUUUCACCGAGGGUUCGAAUCCCUCUCUCUCCG
rnacentral:tRNA from 1 species